rnacentral:rRNA from 1 species
GCUCAAAUUUGAAAUCUGGCCUCCGGGCCCGAGUUGUAAUUUGUAGAGGAUGCUUUUGGCGAGGUGCCUUCUGAGUUCCCUGGAACGGGACGCCGUAGAGGGUGAGAGCCCCGUAUAGUCGGACACCUAGCCUCUGUAAAGCUCCUUCGACGAGUCGAGUAGUUUGGGAAUGCUGCUCAAAAUGGGAGGUAUAUCUCUUCUAAAGCUAAAUACUGGCCAGAGACCGAUAGCGCACAAGUAGAGUGAUCGAAAGAUGAAAAGCACUUUGAAAAGAGGGUUAAAUAGCACGUGAAAUUGUUGAAAGGGAAGCGCUUGUGACCAGACGUGCGCCGGGGCGACCAUCCAGUGUUCUCACUGGUGCACUCGCCCCGGCGCAGGCCAGCGUCGGUUUCCGCAGGGGGAAAAAAGCGGCGGGAACGUGGCUCCUCCGGGAGUGUUAUAGCCCGCCGUUUAAUACC